rnacentral:rRNA from 1 species
GGGGCUUUGAACAAAUUUGAGUGCUCAAAUCAGGCCGACGUUGCCUGAAAAGUUUUGCAUGGAAUAAUGGAAUAGGACUUCGGUUCUAUUUCGUUGGUUUUUGGAUCCGAAGUAAUGAUCAAAAGGGACAGGCGGGGACGUUUGUAUGGCUGCGCUAGAGGUGAAAUUCGUGGACCGUAGCCAGACAAACUAAAGCGAAAGCAUUCGUCAAGCAUGUUUUCAUUGACCAUGAGCGAAAGUCAGAGGCUCGAAGACGAUCAGAUACCGUCCUAGUUCUGACCAUAAACGAUGCCAACUGACGAUCCGUGGUGGUAGUUCUAAAACCUUCCCCACGGGCAGUCCCCGGGAAACCUUUAAGUCUUUGGGUUCCGGGGGAAGUAUGGUUGCAAAGCUGAAACUUAAAGGAAUUGACGGAAGGGCACCACCAGGAGUGGAGCCUGCGGCUUAAUUUGACUCAACACGGGAAAACUCACCCGGGCCGGACACUAUGAGGAUUGACAGAUUGAUAGCUCUUUCUUGAUUUGG